rnacentral:rRNA from 1 species
AGCGAACGCUGGCGGCAGGCCUAACACAUGCAAGUCGAACGAAGUCUUCGGACUUAGUGGCGGACGGGUGAGUAACACGUGGGAACGUGCCUUUAGGUUCGGAAUAACUCAGGGAGACUUGUGCUAAUACCGAAUGUGCCCUUCGGGGGAAAGAUUUAUCGCCUUUAUGAGCGGCCGGCGUCUGAUUAGCUAGUUGGUGAGGUAAAGGCUCACCAAGGCGACGAUCAGUAGCUGGUCUGAGAGGAUGAUCAGCCACAUUGGGACUGAAACACGGCCAAAACUCCUGCGGGAGGCAGCAGUGGGGAAGCUUGCGCAAUGGGCGAAAGCGUGACGCAGCCAUGCCGCGUGAAUGAUGAAGGUCUUAGGAUUGUAAAAUUCUUUCACCGGGGACGAUAAUGACGGUACCCGGAGAAGAAGCCCCGGCUAACUUCGUGCCAGCCGCCGCAGUAAAAC